rnacentral:rRNA from 1 species
CCUACGGGUGGCAGCAGUGGGGAAUAUUGGGCAAUGGGCGCAAGCCUGACCCAGCAACGCCGCGUGAAGGAAGAAGGCUCUCGGGAUGUAAACCUCUUUUAGUGAGGACGAAACAAAUGACGCUACUCAAUGAAUAAGCCACGGCUAACUACGUGCCAGCAGCCGCGGUAAUACGUAGGUGGCAAGCGUCAUGCGGAUUGACUGGGUGUAAAGGGCGUGUCGGCGGGACUGCAAGUCAGAUGUGAAACCCAUGGGCUCAACCCAUGGACUGCAUUUGAAACUGUAGUUCUUGAGUGAAGGAGAGGCAGGCGGAAUUCCGGGUGUAGCGGUGAAAUGCGUAGAUAUACGGAGGAACACCAGUGGCGAAGGCGGCCUACUGGACAUUAACUGACGCUGAGGCGCGAAAGCGUGGGGAGCAAACAGGAUUAGAUACCCCUGUAGUC